UACGAAGGGGGGCAAGCGUUGUCCGGAAUUAUUGGGCGUAAAGCGCGUGUAGGCGGCCAGAUAAGUCCGCUGUGAAAUCUCGAGGCUCAACUUCGAGCUGUCGGUGGAAACUGUCUGGCUAGAGUCCGGAAGAGGAGAAUGGAAUUCCUGGUGUAGCGGUGAAAUGCGUAGAUAUCUGGAGGAACACCGAUGGCGAAGGCAGGUCUCUGGGCAUUAACUGACGCUGAGGAGCGAAAGCAUGGGGGAGCGAACAGG
rnacentral:rRNA from 1 species